rnacentral:rRNA from 1 species
GACGGAGGGGGCAAGCGUUGCUCGGAAUCACUGGGCGUAAAGGGCAAGCAGGCGGCCCUGCAAGUCAGAUGUGAAAUCCCUCGGCUCAACCGAGGAACUGCAUCUGAAACUGCAGGGCUUGAGUUCGGGAGAGGUGAGCGGAAUUCCCGGUGUAGCGGUGAAAUGCGUUGAUAUCGGGAGGAACGUCGGUGGCGAAGGCGGCUCACUGGACCGAUACUGACGCUCAGAGGCGAAAGCUAGGGGAGCGAACGGGAUUAGAUACCCCCGUA